rnacentral:rRNA from 1 species
AGGGUUUGAUCCUGGCUCAGAACGAACGCUGGCGGCGUGGCUAAAGCAUGCAAGUCGCACGAUUAAGACCCCCUUCGGGGGGUGUAUAAAGUGGCGAAAGGGCGAGUAAUGCAUGGGUAACGUACCCCUCGCACAGGGAUAGCUGCGGGAAACUGCAGGUAAUACCUGAUGAGACCACAGUGUCAUAUGGCACAGCGGUCAAAGGGUGGGGAUCCUUCGGGACCUACUGGCGAGUGAGCGGCCCAUGUCCUAUCAGCUUGUUGGUGAGGUAACGGCUCACCAAGGCAUCGACGGGUACCGGGACUGAGAGGUUGACCCGGCGCAUUGGGACUGAGACACUGCCCAGACUCCUACGGGAGGCUGCAGCACCGAAUAUUCCGCAAUGGGCGCAAGCCUGACGGAGCGACGCCGCGUGUGGGAUGAAGCCCUUCGGGGUGUAAACCACUGUCAGGGGUUAGCAAGCAAUGGAGGCCAAUACCCUCCGGCGUUGAGCAGCCCCAGAGGAAGCCACGGCUAACUUCGUGCCAGCAGCCGCGGUAAGACGAAGGGCAAGCGUUGUUCGGAAUCACUGGGCUUAAAGAGCACGUAGGCGGUCCGUCAAGCAUCUUAAAAUCCCUCGGCUCAACCGAGGAAUGGCUGGGUGAACUGGCGGACUUGAGGCAGGUAGGGGCACGUGGAACUCUUGGUGGAGCGGUGGAAUGCGUAGAUAUCAAGAGGAACGCCGGUGGCGAAAGCGGCGUGCUGGGCCUGUCCUGACGCUGAGGUGCGAAAGCCAGGGGAGCGAACGGGAUUAGAUACCCCGGUAGUCCUGGCCCUAAACGAUGUCCACUAGGUCGGAGGCUCUCUGACGAUUUUCCGGCCGAAACAAAAGCGUUAAGUGGACCGCCUGGGGAGUACGGUCGCAAGGCUAAAACUCAAAGGAAUUGACGGGGGCUCACACAAGCGGUGGAGCAUGUUGCUUAAUUCGAUUCAACGCGAAGAACCUUAUCCUGGGCUUGACAUACUUGGAUACCCAUCUGGAAACAGAGUAGGUUGCUCUUCGGAGUGAAACUUGUACAGGUGCUGCAUGGCUGUCGUCAGCUCGUGUCGUGAGAUGUUGGGUUAAGUCCCGUAACGAGCGAAACCCUUGUCGCUAGUUGCCAGCGCGUAAUGGCGGGGACUCUAGCGAGACUGCCGGUGUUAAACCGGAGGAAGGCGGGGAUGACGUCAAGUCCUCAUGGCCUUUAUGCCCAGGGCUGCAAACGUGCUACAAUGGUCGAAACAAACCGAAGCGAAGCCGCGAGGUGGAGCAAAUCGGACAAAGUCGGCCUCAGUUCGGAUUGGAGUCUGCAACUCGACUCCAUGAAGUCGGAAUCGCUAGUAAUCGUGUAUCAGCGCGACACGGUGAAUGUGUUCCUGAGCCUUGUACACACCGCCCGUCAAGUCAUGGAAGCUGGUAGCGCCCGAAGUCGGCAUAUGUCAGUGCUGCCGAAGGUGAGAUCGGUGACUGGGACUAAGUCGAACAAGGUA